GACGAACGCUGGCGGCGUGCUUAACACAUGCAAGUCGAACGGAAAGGCCCUGCUUUUGUGGGGUGCUCGAGUGGCGAACGGGUGAGUAACACGUGAGUAACCUGCCCUUGACUUUGGGAUAACUUCAGGAAACUGGGGCUAAUACCGGAUAGGAGCUCCUGCUGCAUGGUGGGGGUUGGAAAGUUUCGGCGGUUGGGGAUGGACUCGCGGCUUAUCAGCUUGUUGGUGGGGUAGUGGCUUACCAAGGCUUUGACGGGUAGCCGGCCUGAGAGGGUGACCGGCCACAUUGGGACUGUGUUACGGCCCAGCCUCCUACGGGAGGCAGCAGUGGGGAAUUUUGCACAAUGGGCGGAAGCCUGUUGCAGCAACGCCGCGUGCGGGAUGACGGCCUUCGGGUUGUAAACCGCUUUCGCCUGUGCCGAACCGUGAGUGACGGUAAUGGGUAAAGAAGCACCGGCUAACUACGUG
rnacentral:rRNA from 1 species